UACGUAGGGGGCAAGCGUUAUCCGGAUUUACUGGGUGUAAAGGGAGCGCAGACGGCAGUGCAAGUCUGGAGUGAAAGCCCGGGGCCCAACCUGUGGCCUGCAUUUGAAACUGUUUUUCUUGAGUACUGGAGAGGCAGACGGAAUUCCUAGUGUAGCGGUGAAAUGCGUAGAUAUUAGGAGGAACACCAGUGGCGAAGGCGGUCUGCUGGACAGCAACUGACGCUGAGGCGCGAAAGCGUGGGGAGCAAACAGG
rnacentral:rRNA from 1 species